rnacentral:rRNA from 1 species
GGACGAACGCUGGCGGCGCGCCUAACACAUGCAAGUCGAACGAGCGAAGAGGAGCUUGCUUCUCUGAGCGAGUGGCGAACGGGUGAGUAACGCGUGAGGAACCUGCCUCAAAGAGGGGGACAACAGUUGGAAACGACUGCUAAUACCGCAUAAGCCCACGGCUCGGCAUCGAGCAGGGGGAAAAGGAGCAAUCCGCUUUGAGAUGGCCUCGCGUCCAAUUAGCUAGUUGGUGAGGUAACGGCCCACCAAGGCGACGAUCGGUAGCCGGACUGAGAGGUUGAACGGCCACAUUGGGACUGAGACACGGCCCAGACUCCUACGGGAGGCAGCAGUGGGGGAUAUUGCACAAUGGGGGAAACCCUGAUGCAGCGACGCCGCGUGGAGGAAGAAGGUUUUCGGAUUGUAAACUCCUGUCGUUAGGGACGAUAAUGACGGUACCUAACAAGAAAGCACCGGCUAACUACGUG